rnacentral:lncRNA from 1 species
GACUCUAAACAACAAGCACUUUUAUAUUGUUGCAAAGCAUACAUAUUCAUUUAUAUGCAUCACAGGCAGCAUUACACACUUCAAAGCACUGACAUGUUCAUGCAAAUUUAUUCCAUUCAAACAAAGGACCUACAUGAUAAUAAGAACACUCUUCGAACAUCACAACCAUUAUUAUAAGGGCCAAUAACUACAUUAUUUCUUCUUUUACUUUAAAUUUCUUCUUGGAAUUAUGCCUUCACAAGAUUACUAUCAAUAUCUCUGGUGCCGUUGUGCAGGUACUCGAUGUAGCCAUAUGGAGGAUGAACUUCUUCAUUAAGUUUCUCAUAUUCAAUGGUCCAUUUGAUAAUAGCACCACCGUUCUCCUUAUCAAUUGCUUGAAAUAUGAGGUUAAACACCUUAAACCUGUGGUCUAUGUCUUCACCGAAAAGCUUGUAGUUGAUUGUUUUCUUCUCUUCAUCAAUAGAUUCAAUCUUCUCAAGACAUUUUUCAACAUUUCCAUCUGUUCUUUCACAACCAAUAUUAUCAGACCAGUCACCAAAAUAUUUUAUCAGAGUUAUACACUAAAAAAAGAAGAGUUAUAGCAAUGAACUCGACCACAUUCUUUAUCACUUUAUUUAGACAUUCUUAAUUAUCACUCCAAAUUUCAUAUUCGAAGUUAUGAAAUUAUGAGUGAAUCCUUUAAAAUUUAUUAUUAUCUGUAUGGUAUAUGGCAUACGCCGGGCCGUCGGAAGAAUGAUCCAUCGGUCCAUAUGUUGUGGUGAUUAAAAUAAAUCGUUUUACUUACAAUGAGCUGUAAUUGGGUCAACGUUUAAGUUUUUGUUGUUAGGUCAUAACAGGACCCACGCUUGAAUUAUGGUUAGUGGAUUAAUAAUUUAAUUGGGCCAAUAACCAGACUAUUAGCAAAAUAAUAAAAGAAUGAUUCAAGAUAUUGAUAAUUGAUAACAAUUUUUGAACAACAAAUCGAGGAAAAGGUAAGUUGGUAUUAUUUGGUUCAUCAGGUAGCUUAUAAAUAUAGACCUAAACCACUAAAUACUGAAUACUCAAUUGUGAGCAAAAGCUCUUUGAACACACGUCUAACUUGAGAAUCAGAGUGCCUUUUGCAGGUGCUCACCCCAAUCUGGAAGUGAAGGAAGCCAAGCAAGUGAUCCAAGCAUAAAAAGGCAGGAAGAAUAGGUCGAAAAGGUACAUCUCUGAGCCCUACAAAUAUCCCUACAGAAAACCUUUUCGACGUGUUCUUCCUGCCUUUCUUUGCUUGGAUCACCUGCUUUGCUUCCUUCACUUCCAAAUUGGGGGUGAGCACCUGCAAAAGGUACUCCGAAGCUCAAGUUAGACGUCUGUUCAAAGAGCUUCUGCUCACAAUUGAGUAUUCAGUAUUAAGUGAAAAGUGUCUACCUUUGUGGUUUAGCUCUAUAUUUAUAGGCUACCUAAUGAAUCAAAUAAUACCAACUUACAUUUUUCUCGAUUUGUUAUUUAGAAACCAUUAUCAAUUAUAAAUAUCUUGAAUCAUUCCGUUAUUAUUUUACUAACAAUCAAGUUAUUGGCCCAAUUAAAUUAUUAGCCCAUUAAGCAUAAUUCAAGCGUUGGUCCUGUUAUGACAUAAUAUCAAUAACUUAGACGCUGAUCUAAUUACAAUCCAUAGAUAAAACGAUUUACUUUACUCACCACAACAUAUGGACUCAUCGGUUCAUUCUUUUGACCGCCAGACGUAUGCCAUAUACCAUACACUAUCAAUAAACUACCUAAACAUAAUGAGAUGUCUACUGAACAUUUCAAAAUGUUUGUUGAACUUUUUUUUCAAGCAAUUUCGGUCUUUAAUUGAAUUUUAAAUCUUAUUCAAUUUCAUAAAAUUAAUUUAUUUGCAUAAAAAUAUAUGUAUUUCGAACAUGAAAUUAAAUAUUAAUUAAAUUUUAAUUAAAAAUAAAAUUUACAUUUAUUUAUAUACUAUAAAUUGAUAUUAUUUUUAAUGAACAAAUUGAUAUAUAUUAUAUUUAAUGAACGUGAAAUAUAAAUUGAUAUUAACAUGAAAUUUCUAUCUAUUUAUAAUUUGUUUUCAAUAAGAAAACAUAUGAUAUGACCAAAUAAUUUAUAUAUAAUGUACUAACUCACUCAUCUCUAAAGACAAGUGGAACUAAGUCAGUAAAUUCCUAUGAAAAUUAUACCUUUAAAAUGAUACAUAAACCUAAGACAAUUACAGAAUACACACAUACACAUAUGUAAUUAUAUAUAUAUAUAUAUAUAUAUAUAUAUAUAUAUAUAUAUAUAUAUAUAUAUAUAUAUAUAUAUAUAUAUAUUGAAAGAAAAAUAUAGUUAAUGGUGAAAGUCUUCUCAUAAGUUUUGUUUGCAUAUUAAUUACCUAUUUUAUAAGUCCAGUGUUUGACGGUCUCAUGGUGAUGCCAGUCUUCACCCUGAUGAAGCUGGGCUGCAUGAAUACUAUCACUUAGGUGUUGAACAUCAUGGAGGCUUUUUGCGAAGAGGUUGUACCACUUUUCAGCAGUUGAAUGAACACCAAUUUCAGUGGUGAUUCUACCAAAAUGUGUCAUGAUGAUGAAGAAAUAAGAUAGAAGCAAGAAAUUGAGAGAGCAAGGAUGAGGAUGCUCAAGAAUAAUGCAUCCAUUUAUAUAGUAACAUAAUCCACCUAACUCCUCACAGAUUAUUCAAUUGGGAUCUCUGUCAGUAAACCCUAGAAAUUAAUGAAAGAUAAUUUUUUUUUUAUUUUCUUUUAAAAACUUAUAUAAAUUAGUUUAGAAGAGAGAAAAAGCCGGCAGUUUUGUAAUUUAAUUUAUAAUUUUUAUUUUUAUUUACAUGUUAUGCUUAUUAUUGAUUUACUAUUUAAAUUUUUUAAUAUGAAAUUAAUUACUUUAGUUUUUUUUUCUAUCAUAAAAAUUGUUGAAUGGGACAGUUUACUAAUAAUGGAGUGUUGCACAAUACAAAACUCUAAUCAGUUUCAGAAGUUCUUAUGGAUAUGGAUAUUCUAGGAGUAAUUUCCACCGACAAGAAAGUAGGUUUAGAAAAUGAUGUUUAUGAAUCGCAUUCAAUAACAGUAAAUGAAAUUCAAAUUAUUCAGAUUUUAUUAAUUUAAAUUCGUUGAAAUUUACUCCUGUAACAUUUUAUUUUUCUUAAAAUAAAAUUAAUUUAAUAUAGAUGUUUAUUUUAUUUAAUUAAACUAUUUAAUUGGACUUAAAAAGUAAAAUAAAGUGUUGUGUAAAAAAGCAAAUGAAAUUAAAAUAAGUUGUCAGAGAGUAAGAGAAAAAUAGUCAGAAUUAAUUGGACUUGGUAUCUAAAAGAAUCAUAGACCAUUUAUAUGUUAUAUAAAAAGGAAAUACAUCUUUUUCCUUCUCAUUCCAUACUUGUUCAUUUUUGGUACAUGACACAUGAAGACAGAGAUAUUCUUUUAACCUCAUUAAGAUCAUGUUAUAUGUUUUUUAAAGCUUAUAAACAGGGAAAGUAAAUUGUGCUCAUUGUUUUGUGUCAGAAAUCUUGAUAAACCUUUUAUAUCUCAUUAAUAAAUCUUGUUAUAUAAUAUAAAUCUUGUUACAGUUAAAUAUUAUUGACUAAAAUAUAAAUACCUAAAAUAAUGAUGAAAAUGAGACAAGUUAAAAUAUCUAUAUUAUGAUUAUCGAAUUAAAUAAGAUAUUAAUAUAAAAAAGUAAAAAACGAAAAUAAUCUUUUCAUUGAAAUAAUUAAGAAUAAAGGAAACAUAACACCAUCUCUUAGAGACAAGACUAAAUGCAGUUUAGGAUUUCAAAUUUUGAAGCCCGAAUGAAGAAAGCAAAUGAAAAUCUCAAACAAAUCAUAGGUUAAUAUAGGUUUUAGGAAGACGGUAACUCAAGUAUGAAUUCCUCUUUGCCUGUGGUGGACCGUAAUAUUAUUAGUCGGAGUUUUACAUACUGCUAUUCACUUCACUGAUCCACACAACAAUUGUUGCAGCUCCAUUGUCACAAAUGGUUCUGUUAAAUCGAAACGGAAUAUAGAAGAAUGAAAAUUAGAAAGGAAAAUGAAAGAACAAAAUAGGAAGAAAGAAGAAAGGAAGAAAUGGAAUUACAUGAUACUAAGAAGUUUCGAGAGGGUGAAAGAACUGCGGAAUUUUGAAAGGACGAAGGGAAUGAAAAAUUUGGGAGAGGUAAAAAAUUUUGGGGUACGGCUUAGGUAUAUAGAUGGUUUUGGAAUUUGGAGAAAAAAUUUAGGUAUAAAAUUUUGAAAAGGGGUAAUGCUUAGGUACAGAUUAUUUUGGAAUUGGGGAGAAAAAAAUUAGGUAUAAAAUUUUGAGAGGGUUGAAAUGUAAAAGAUACGAGAAGGAAAGGAAAAAAUUAUUAUAAUACGAGGAAGUUAUAAACAUUUUUAGAAAAAAAUUAAAAUCCUCACUGUAAUAUUCAUUUAAAGAUACUAGUGCAGAAAAGGCUUUAAACGUAUGUUAUUUUGGGCUUUUAACGUCUUUUUCACAACCAACGUCAUUAUGGGUGACGUUAAUGGGACGUUGAACUUCCAUAUAACAGACAUUUAUAUUAGUGUCAUGUCCGACGUCACUAAAUGUCUGUGUAGGGCUAACCCGACGUUUAAGGGCACUGUAUAGACGUCGGAGUAAGCAUUAACUGACGUCUAAGAGCACAUAAAGACUUCGAACAUGUUACUAACCGUCGUCUAAUGUCACUAUAGACGUCGGUGUAUGCAUUAACCGACAUCUAACAUAGUCAUUGUAUUUUAGUGUAGUUUUGUUCCUGUCUUUGGAUAGCCUAGUAGCACACUCUGUCUUUGCUAGUUUCCCCCAAAAAAAAAGCUUGCGUCUUUUGAAUUUCUCAUGACAUUUCAACCCAAAACCGAACCUGGGUUCUUGCUUAGUUCCAUUUUCAACCGCAAGAGGGAAAACUUACGGUGAAACGAUAACUAGGCAACGACCCAAGGUCAUUUUUGGGUCAAAACGCCACAAGAAAUCCAAAAGACGCCGCUUUUUCUGGGAGGCAGCUAGCAAAGGCAGAAUGUGGUACUACGUUACCCCAAGAGAGGAACAAAACUGCACUAAAACACAACACAAGGAAAAUAAAUUUUAAUCAGUUGAACCAGAAGAUAAUAGAUGAAAGACUAAUAUAAUUGGACUGAACAAAGUUUAAAUGGUUUAAAUAAAAAAACAAGACGCACCUGGAAUGUAAUGCCACAAGAGAGAAAAAGGAGAGGAGGAAGACGAUGAUGUUAUUAGAAACUAGAAUGCAAUGCCGCAAGAGAGAAAAAUGAGAGGAGGAAGACAGCGAUGUUAUCAAAAACUGGAAUGCAAUGCCGCGAAACUACAAGUCUACGGUUUAUUUCACAUGACAUGCAGCGUCGGUUGGUACAGAAACCAACGUCUAUAACAUUUUAGACGUCAGCUAUCUCACUAAUAUGACGUCCAAGAUAACUUUUAAUCUGCCUUUUGCAUGCACAUUAGACGUCGGACACACGGGACGCCGACGUCUACGACACUGAUCGGAUUGACCUUUCAUUUCCUGUCAGGGAAGUAGACGACGGUUGUCUUGGGGAGCCAACUUCUAUAACAUUUUAGACGUCGACGCCCUGUUACUGGACGUCGAAGUGCCUGCAAGUUUGGUGAAUAACAUUAAUUACAGGCACAUAAACGUCGUGAUGGAAUCCUGUCUCAUGUAGUCCUCUUUUUACAUUUUAUUGUAUCUGUAGUGUAGCUUGCAAGGAGCAUGGGUCACUAUAAAUACCCAGCUCCUCACUUGUACUAUUCACUUUUGAGAUUAAUGAGAAUAGAAUUUUCUAAAUUCAGAAACUAUUCUCUUGAAAGUUAGAAGGCUAGAGAGUCCAAAGACUCCCUCUAGCCACCUUCCAAGCACACCUUAUUAUUUCAUUUUUCCAAUUACUCCACCAUGCUUCUCUCUCCUCCACGGAGAUCCAUUACUCCACUGCCACAAUCCUUGUGCCUGCGUCAACGUUACAACCACGCGUCCUCCUCUGACUAGUCUGUUCUUCUCUGAUUCUGCGUCGAUAUCGAGUUUUCGUCCGAUUUCUCUCUUAAUCUAGAAGUUGUUAACAUAUUCCGCUGCGUAUCUCUCGUCGGAGAAGCUUGGAGGAGCUUUACUGGCCUUCACGUCGCGCCAAUCAGACAGCUCCUCAAGGCGUUUUUGCACUAGUGAGAGUCAGAGGAAAUCAUCUGAAGUCAUCAAUUUCUAGAAUUUUUUAUAACUUUCAAUAAAAUAAUCUUUACUAAAUAACAUUCUCUUUUGUAGUAAUCUUAUUUAUUUGUCUUCGUAGACUCCAAAAAAAUUCUCACAUUAAAACCAAAUUAUAAUAUAUAAAUGAGAUGUAAACUUUAUUUUUCAAACUAAUUUUAUGAAAUUGAAUUAAAUUUAAAAACCAUUUCUUAAUAAUUCAUACUAUCGCCUAAGUCAUAUUUCCUUUUCCAUUCAGUACCAAAUCAUGAAAAUGGUACUUGGGUUGAUUGUGAUGUACUGGAUUCACAUCAAUCCAUCUAUCACACAUGUUACAAUCUUUUUGAACUAUUUCACAGGAGAUAAAAAAAAAUGGUUACAUAUUUCUUAUUUCUCAUUAAUCCUACCCCUACUAGUUAGCUUUGUCCUCGUUGAUACGUUAUCUAACAAUACCUCCAUGUGAAAUGUUGCACGGUUGAUAAAACCUUUAUUCUACAAAAGGUGAUAGAUAUAUUAGUGUCCUCUCCAGUAUAAUUUUUCUUUUUGGCAUUUUCAUAUAAGCAAAUUUAACCAUGUAUUGUCAUGUAUCCUCUGUUUCCUUAUCGAAAGUCGCACCUACAAUAAAAUUUAUUCUUGGGCGUUUUCCCUCAAACAUUUCUUAGUCAUUAUUUCACCUUCCUAAUUCCUCAAAUGCUUUUUCUUUGCAUUUUGAAAUCUCAUACAAUCUAUUAGUUGCAUUUUACCCUGUCAUUUAUCCUCAUAUAUCUCAGUGCAUACUCCAAGUAUUGUGUAGUAUUAUUUUUUUGUUAAAUAUGAUUGAAUAUUUUCAUUCAUUAUUUCAUCAAUACCAUAGAUUUACAAGUAAAAAUUUAGAUUUCAUUUCAUGGUUCACUUUAAUAUAUUUGUAAUAACAUGUUUCCUUAUUUAUUUAUAAUAAAUAGUAAAUUAUUAUUUUUAAAUAUGUACUUUAAAUUGCUGUUCUGAUAAGCUACUCAAAUGUAUGAUUAAAAAUUUACAAAAGAUUGUGUUAGGCUUUUCAAUUCUUUUAAAUGUAUGUGAGUUCAUCUUUAAGCUUGUAAUAUCAUAAUUAUGUAGGACAAGCCAAACUAUUUAACCCAAACAUUUUAUGCGAGUCAUCUACUCCAAGGUAAUUUUGAUAGGUCAAAUGUGAGAUGGGUCAAAACAGGACAUGUCCAAAGCAUAACAUGGCGAUUUGUAUUGCCACUCUAUUUACACCCAUAUUGUUCACAUAUAGCUAAUAAAAUAUUUGAAGAUCUUUUCCGUUAAUAUUUAGAAUUAGGCACCAACAUUUAUUAGGCCGAAGGGAAUUUUUCCAUAAUGAUAGUUUCCUUUUUCCAUGAAAAUGUAAUUUUCUCUUUGUUGUGUGGAAGCAUUUAGAUCUGAUUGUAUCUAUAUUAUACAUUUAAAAAAACUCCACAUUUUUUUGCCUCACCGCAUACUAGCUCUCAAGUUUAAUGAAGAUUAUUCAUGGGUAUGCUUUAUUUAAGUCUAUGCAAUUAGUGCAAAUCUUCGAUUUGUCUUUGACUUUUUAACUAUUAUUAGCUAAUUGGGUGGUAUAGUGAUCUACUAUGAUGCAGUUAGAAGCUUAUCCACCUCUUCUUUAGCCAAUAUCCUCCUUCCAUCUUCUAGUUUCCUUUUCUUAUGAGAUAUUGGUUUGACCUCUUUGUACAAAAAAAACUUAUAACACAUGACUUGUCGAUCAAUACCGUACAUAUCAAUUGUCAUCAAGCAAAAAAAUAAAAUUGACAUUAUCCAUGAGAAUUACAAUUACGAUCACUAGUAAAAAAUAGGUUUUAUAGAGCGCACAUUAUGUCACGGUUUACCAGAAACCGCCGCAUAAUGGUGUGCGGUGGUACUUUGGUAAAUAAUUCGAACAUAUAUGUCGCAGUUCCCCUCCUAACCGCGACAUAUACCCCAGUCAACCAUCAGUCUUUGGCGCCACAUCAGGAAAAAAAUUUAAUAACAUGGGAAUAGGCCGCGGUUCUCUGAACAACCACGACCUAUUCCCCCUGCUACCUACUGACAUUCCCCAUCAGUCAGUGUCAACACCCAAUUUCGUCCGGGUGACUAUAAUAGGACUAAUUUUUAUUUUUGUCUUAUUUUAUUUUUAUUUUAUUAUUUUUAAUUUUUGUUUUACUAUUUAGUAUUUGAUUUAGUUUUUGGAUUUAAUUGAAAAAGAGAAAAGAAAACAAAACAAAAAAAAAGAAACAAGAAAAAAAAGGAAGGGAAUUAGAAUUUUGAUGUUGUCGUUUUGUGAAAAAAGAGAGAGACAACGUGGUCUGGAGAAGGAUGAGGCCGAUUUGGUUGGCAGGGACACAACAAAGGCGAUUUUUGGAUUUGCAAUUGACAAAGGGUUUGCAAGGAAAAACAGUUAAAGUAAGGGCAGAGAGGAUGAAGACAAAGAAGAAGAAGAAAAAAGCAGAGUGAGAAUCGAAAAAGGGGGAAUGGACUUGGAUGGCGAGGGGGAGAUUAGCUGAAAGGGGGGAAGAUAACGAAUAUUUCAUCCUCAACCACAGUCCGAUCCUCUGGGGGGAAUUUUCUCAUUUUCCAUCAGACCCACCUUUCACCUCGGACCAUUCGCCAUGGCCUCCAAUACCCACCAUAUUCAUCUGAGGCCUCCAUAAUCUUAGGGCAGCACCUUCAUUCCUUACACACAACGUCUUCAUAAUCAUCCUUCAUAAUUCAUCACACAGAACUCACAUUUACCCAUCACCACAAUUCGUCCUCCAUUAUUCACCUCUCACAGACACCACGCCUCAUCAUUCCAACCAUCAUAUUCUAUCACCCUUCCCGAUCAAGGCACUGAUAAUCAUUCCUCCGUUUUCGACAAAGCUCACAGAAGCAUUGGCGAAUCCAUAGAACCAUGCACUCGAAAUUAUGCCGACGAGAUCACACCACUACCUGUUUUCCCAUUCACGCACCAUUUAUUGGUGCCAUUCUCUUCAUUUCUUUCCUAUCAUACCAACCAACCUUAAUGCCUUCAUUAGAGACAUCAUACACUACUCACUCAAAAACAGAUUAAUGGCUAUCAUCAUUCCCACCCUCUGGCCAUUCCUACUCUUCCAUUCUACACCCUCAUCACACAUAAUAGAAAACCUCAUUUCCUCACUUCCUAAACUCCAUCUUCAUCACCCAUUAGGAUCUUCACCCUCAACUUGCAGUCAACCAAAAAAAAAAUGAAAUCAACCAAGCAAGGACAGAAAACCCAUUUUUCCUCUAUCAUACACACUACUCAAUUCCUCUAUGAACUCUCACAGAAAAAACAUAUCCAGCAACAACACGCUCAACUAGUCUUUGAUUCCCUUUACCCCUGCGUCAACCAUCACUGGCCCCUGUCACUCUUUCACCUGCAAUAGAAACAACACAAUAUUUCAUCUUAUACUAGAGCCAUCUCCAAUCAUCAGCAAAAAUGGAAUCCUCAAGCAGGAAGCACACUAUCUUCAGCCACCGCGUCGUGGUCUAAUAUUGGUAAUCAACAAUAACGGCAGGGAGCUGCAUCUCCCAGUGGUGAAUCGGUUAGAAAGCAAGCCUAAUUCGAAGGGAGAAGAGGAAGCCCCACACGCUCCAGUAGAGAGGAAACCAGCAGCGAACAACACCACUGGCGUUGCCCUAGCCCGCGGCAGGCUCGACGGCGGCUACGGUGCGAGGGGAAGCCCCGAUGGUGACCGGCGUCGUCGCCAGCGGUCCUCAUAGUGAAUAGCAUCACGACCUAAGGUAGAGGGAGAAGAGAUUCUUCUCGUGCAAAGAGAGGAAGGUGAAUAGAGAGAGGUGCGGUGGCCGACAGAGGUGUCGUGGCGGCUGGCGUUUACCCUAACAACGAAAAAGCUUGGCGUGGUGGCCGGCAGGGUCCAUGGCAGUGACCGGUCAGCGGAGGCAGUGGUGAGUGCUCGCGCAGGAGAGCCAAAACCUCCUUGGGCAACCUUCUUCAAAGGAGACCCUAGGUCUCUGGACAACUUAGUUUCUUUUGGAUGCAAGUGGAGAGGGUAAGGAACCUGGGUCGCGGAGUUGAAUGCAAACGAGGUGAAGUUGCUGAGACCCCCAUGAGUUUCUGAUGAGGUUAAGGGCCUUAGGCCUAGUAUGGAUUGUUUCCUUUCUUCCUGCGACCAUGCACAACUCAAUUUGCACCCACUUUCCAUUUGGGUUGUAGCCCAUUCCGCUGCUGCAAACAAAAAAGAAGAAGAUUGGGCCUGGACAGGCUAUUUCGCACUGCACCCCAUUUUCAGCCAUACACCCCUNACAGACUAAGGUUGGAGAGAGAAGGCUUGGGCUUAAACCAGAAGAGCUUCAAUUUUAUUCAACACCUCUGGUUUUUAUCUCUGCACUCCUAUUCUUAUUGGGCUUGGACCGUGGUUUUUUUUUAUUAUUUGUCUUUGCUUUUUAUUUUCUUUAACUCUAGUAUUUGUCUUAUUAUUGUGUGGUGUUAUAUUCAUUUAUUAAUAAAAAUAAAAACAUAAAAAUAUAAAAAUAAAAUUUCUUUUAUAAAAUAACAAAAAUAUUUUAAAAGGUUCAAGCACACGUGCGACCAUUCGCGUCAGCCUUGUGUUGAAAACCUUUUUCUCCUUCUUUUAAAAAUAAAAAAUUACUAUUUUUAAAAGGUUUAAGCACACGUGCGACCAUUCGCGUCAGCCUUGUGUUAAAAACCUUUUUCUUCUUCUUUUAAAAAUAAAAAAAUAUAUUUUAAAAUGUUUAAGCACACGUGCGACCAUUCGCGUCAGCCUUGUGUUGAAAACCUUUUUCUCCUUCUUUCAAAAAUAAAUAAAAAAUAAUUAAAAAAUUUAUUAUUUUAAAAAGGUUUAAGCACACGUGCGACCAUUCGCGUCAGCCUUGUGUUAAAACCUUUUUCUUCGUCUUUUAAAAAUAAAAGAAGUUAUUUUCAGAGGUUUAAGCACGUCAGCCUUGUGUUGAAAACCUUUUUCUUCUUCUCUUAAAAAUAAACAAAAAUUGUUUUAAAAGGUUAAAGCACACGUGCGACCAUUCGCGUAGGCCUUGUGCUAAAACCUUUACCCUUUUCUUUUUAUAUAAAAAAAAAUCUUCAAAAACCAAAAACAAUCAAUUCUUAAACAUUUCCUAAGCAAUUAUCCAUAACUACGUGAUCCUUGAUUCUCCAUCCAAAGUGGAGAUACGUAGGAGCAAGGCUAGUCCUUGUUAGGCUCACUUUCCCAAAAAUCAAAAUUUUCCAAACAAACUUUCCAGACAAAUUCCUCAAACAAAAUUUCCAACCAGUUUUAAAGAACUACGUAACUCUGAUUUCUCAGUCCAACUAAGAAUACGUAGGAGCAAGGUCAAUCCGUGUCGGGCACAAAAAACACAAAAAAUAUUUUGUUUUCUUUAGAGUUUUAUUUUUUAGGGGAAAUUAAACAUUUUGCAAACCACAUCAAAUUCGCGUAUUUAGUUAAAGGUACCGCCUUAGGGCAGGCGUUGUGGGGGUGCUAACACCUUCCCGACACGUAACCAACUUCCGAAACCAGAAUUUGGUUUUGUAGACUUUGCCUUAUCAUUUUACGGAUUUUCCGUAGUUUUCCAGAAUAAACUAUGGUGGUGACUCCAAAAUCUCUUUUUUCUUUUUUCCAAAAUUAUUUUCUUUUUUUGGAUCGUCGUCCCAUCGCGAUUUUCCGGUUGCGACAGUCAGCCCCUGCAAUAAAUUGGCAGGGGAAUAGGUCGCGGUUCUCUAGUCAAUCGCAGCCUAUUCCCUUGCCAAUUUAUUGCAGGGGCUAACUGAUGGAGAAUGUCAGAAGGUUGCAGGGGGAAUAGGUCGCGGUUGCUCAGAGAACCGCGGCCUAUUCCCCCUGCUACCUUCUGUCAUUCCCCAAAAGGCAGUUGGGAAGGCAGUUGAGGGAUUCAGAACAUCGGGGAAUAGGCCGCGGUUGACCUGAGAACCGCGGCCUAUUCCUUGAUCUGAGUAAAUUUUAAAAAUUUCAGAGAAUAUGUCGCGGUUGGGCGCUCAACCGCAGUAUAUAGUUUAAAAAAAUUUUCAAAAAUGUCAUUAUGAAUUAUUUUUUUUCAGAUGAAUAGGCCGCGGUUAAGUGUAGAACCGUGGCAGAUUCUCUUCUGAAGGUUAAAAAAACAAAAAUCACGAACAGUGUCGUCUCCUACAUCGUGAAACAAUUUCAGAAAACGCUGCUUGCUUCUUCGUCGACGAUGCACCGCCUUUGCUUCAAUUUUCCAUCGUUUUGCACCGAUUAAACUCAAAUUCGUUCGGUUCAUUUGCUAUUUUCAACGUCAGGGAAGAGUUUUGACCGAUCAGAAUCGUCAAUCUUCCACUUGGAAAUCGUGAACUUCUAUUGCCGUUCAUCUUACGUCGUGCCAUUGUCGCACCAUCCUUCUCGCCGUGCCAUUGUCGCGCCAUCCUUCUCGCCGUGCCCAUUCCAGGUAUUUGAUGCCCUUCAUCGUUUUUUAUUUUUUUCAAUAUGAUUUUUUCAUUUUUUUUGCAUGAUAACAAUUACUGUUGUUUGAUAAUGUAGACAUAGAAAAUAUAUUGUUUUGGUAAUUUAGAAAUAUUAGAAUUUUUAUUAGAAUUUUUAUAAUUAUUAUAAUUAUUAAAAUAUGAAAACAUAGAAAUUGUAGAAUUAUGAUAAUUCGUAAACCUUAAAAUAUUUGAGUAAUCACUAGGUGAAAUCAUAAUGUUGGUAUGUAUGAAAUUGCAAGUUUGAUUUUUAGUAGCUUAUCCUUUUAUGUAAAAUUUAGGAAUGGGUCGAAAUUGGAUUAAUUUACCACGUAUUAGUGCUGAGUACGAGAGAGGUGUAGAGGAAUUUAUACAAUUUGCGCAACGUAAUGAGGGGAGAAGUGAUGAUGAAGUGAAGUUUAGAUGGCCUUCUGUGAACUGUUUGAAUGCGAGAAAGUUGAACGCAACCCAAAUUAGAGAACAUCUUAUCUGUGAUGGUUUCCUAAGAUGUUAUACAACAUGGAUAUGGCACGGCGAAGAAAUGUACUUUCCAACUGACUCGCAAACUGAAAAUGUUACUAACUCCACCAUGGAAGAAGAUCGACCGGAUGAAGACAAAUUGGAGGACAUGAUCCGCGAUGUCGGCGUAGAAAAAUUUUCCAAAGCUCAUGUGUAUGACACGAUGUCGACUGAUGCGGAAACACCUUUGUAUGUCGGUUCAACUAAGUUCACACGUUUAUCAGCUGUGUUAAGGCUCAUGAAUUUGAAGGCGAGCAAUGGAUGGACUGAUAAGAGUUUUACAGAAUUGUUGACGUUGUUGAAUGAAAUGUUGCCAGAUGGAAAUACACUACCCACUCGUAAUUAUGAUUCGAAGAAAAUUCUUUGUCCAAUGGGUAUGGAGUAUAAAAGGAUACAUGCUUGUCCCAAUGACUGCAUUUUAUAUAGGAAAGAGUUUGAAUUUUUGACAAAGUCUCUAAAAUGUGGCUUAUCACGAUACAAGUUAAAAAACAAUAGUGAAGAUAAUGGUCAGAUAGAAAAAAAUGGAUCUGCUUUGAAAGUAGUUUGGUACCUUCCAAUAGUGCCCANACUUAAGCGUUUGUUUGCGAAUCCCAAAGAUGUUAAAAACCUUAGAUGGCAUGCAGAUGAGAGAAAAAUUGACGGGCUGCUUCGUCAUCCAGCUGAUUCAAAGCAAUGAAAAAAUAUCGAUCGUCAAUUCUCCAAGUUUUUUGUUCCAUUGUUCAAUUGUAAGUGGUUUGACAAUAAGAGUGGUGUGAAAAUAGAUGAAUCAGGUAUGACACUGGUUGAUUUUCGAAAGGUGGGUUACCGAGACGAACCGUUUAUCAUGGUACAUCAAGCAUCUCAGAUUUUUUAUGUCAAAGAUCCUAUGUCUAACCAUUGGUAUGUUGCUCUUCAAGGCAAAAAACAAAUUGAAGUUAACGAAGACAAUCUGAUUAAUAUUCAUAUUGCUGACAACCAUUCAUUUCAAACUAUAACAAAUUUGGAUUUCCAAUCUCUAGUUGACGACGAUGCACAUGCAAUUCGGUCAGAUCAUGAUGAGGGAAUAUACAUAUUAUGAAUCCAUAUCUUUAUGUAUGAAUUUUCAAUUUCUAUAUAAGUAUUUUAUUAAUAUCACAUAAGUUUUCCUUUUAUAUAUUUCCUAUGAUUACUAUUACAUGUUUUGUUAAAUUAUAUGAUAUUACAUAAGUCUUUUAUUAAUAUUUCUUGUUGCUAUUUAUUUUGACAGAUAUAUGGCUGAUCAUCCACAUUCUUCAGGGGAUUCGGCUCCCCCUACCAGAUCCACUAGAGGACCCACUGCGAUGAAAUAACUUUUGAUCAGAAAGAAUAGUGGUGCAAGAACUCCAGUGAAUGUGAACGUCAUCACGGGUGUGGCAACUGGUCCCUAUGCAGAUGACUUCCGAUCAUACCUUGGAGUAGUGGCACGUGAUAGGAUUAGUAUUCUCACUCCAUCUUUUGAUCAUGUGUCCGAGGUUGAUCGGAACAUUAUAUGGAACGAUAUAUUGGUAAGUUAGUUAAUAUCAUUUGAAUUAAAAUUUGUUUAUAUUGAUAAUUUUGUACUGAUACAACUUUAUUAUGUUUAUUUCAGCUGACAUUUGACAUUCCAAAAGUCGCAACACUUAGAAAUAAGUGUUUGUCAACUGUUGCUGAAAACUUCAGAAACUUUAAAAGUAAGUUGACAUCAAGAUAUAUCUUUGGACACCUUAAACUUAAGUCUCCAUGUAGUUCAUAUAAGUCAAUUGAUGAGGAGACUUGGCGGCUUUUUAAAGAGAGUCGGAUGUCAGAGGAAUGACAGAUUACUAUAGUUGAUAUUAUUCAAUUCCUCAUUAACAAAUAUAUAUCAUAUGAACUAAUUAAUUAAUGUGUAUGUGACAAGCAAUUAGAAGCAAAGGACAAGGAACAAGUGCUCAUAACAAAAACCCCCACCUAUUAUCUCGUGGUGGGUAUAAGAAGCUUGAGGAGAAAAUCCUCAAGCAAAAGGAAGAUGCUAGACCACCAUCUCAGGGUGGUAGCCCCCCUCAGCCUCCUUCUCCACCUUCUAGACAUGAAAAAUGGAAGUUGGCUCGUAUGAGACCAUCGGGCACCUACUCUUCCGACAUUGCACGGGAAAUUUCUGAAAGAAUUGUAAGUUAUCACUGUUCCUAAAAUAAUAAGUAUUGUAAUUAUACAUACUACAUUGAACUUUUUAAAGAAUAAUGAUGUUUUGUAAUGUUACAGGACUCCUUGGUUGAGCAGAGCUCCCAAGGUCAAUUCACUCCAAAGGGUCGCUAGGAUAUUCUUGCUGCUGCGAUUGGACGACCUGAGCACCCUGGACGUGUACGUGCUGCUGGUCCUGGAGUAAGAAUUAAAGAUUAUUUUGGGAGCUCUUAUCGUCAACCUUCAUAUGCAUACAGCGAAGCACAAAGAGAAAGGAUGACAGAAAAGAUCACAAAAAAGGUCCGAGCGGACCUUAAGGAGGAGAUAAAAAACGAGGUUAGAUCAGAGCUCAAGGCUGAAUUAUUUAGUGAGUUCAGCUCCAUGUUCCAGCAGCGGUUGGAGACCUAUGGCAUGCACCCGGUGCCAUCUCCUGUACAGGAACAGGAACAUGUUGUGCCUCCCACAGGUAAACUUAAUAAACAUUUAUGUGCAAUUAUUUCUAUCUUUUGUAUAAUCUAACUUUUACUCUGACAGGGAGAAGCGGAAAAGGAAGUUGUUCCUCACCAGCCGUCCUAGGGGAUGACAUGGACGAUGGUAGUCCAUGUCUGGUAUACAUUUUAGAAGAUACCGAGACGGUCCUGGUAGCUCGUGGUACACUAUUUAGGUCAGCGACUGUUGUUCAUGGUAUGCAACUAUUAGAGGAUGAGGUGAAGGUCUUAGUGGACGAAAUGAUCAUACCAGAUGCCUUAGUUCCUCUGGCCACAGAAGAAAUUUUCACUGUGGAACAAACAUUGAAGUCCUUUAUCGCUUGGCCUAAGCAUUUGGUUGGUUCAGUUUCUGACCCCUCGGUAUGAAAUUCUUUUUUACACUUGUCAAUUUUAAAGGUUAUUGAUGUCAAAACUUAUCUUAUAUUUUCAUGUAACAACAGACACAAGCACAGGAGAAGAUUCCUCUAUCUGAGGAUCAUCCUCUUGCUUCAUUGCAUCUACUUGCUGACAUCCUUGAAGAUAAGCCUUUGGAGGUUGAGUAUGAUGCUAAUGUAUUUGGGAGAGGCUCUGAGGUCCCAAUAUACCUUCAUAGCCAAGAUGUCAAUGAGCUUGCAUCGGGAACACAAGAGUUGAAUAUUUCAAUUAUUCAGCUAUGGAUGAUGUAAGUCUAUGAGCAAUUAUUUAUAUAUAAAAUUGAUUUAUAUAUCAAGUAUCCUUAUAUCAAAGUUAAUUUUUGAUUUCAGGUAUAUGUCUGGGGUCAGCAACAAGUUGGGGCGUUCUGAUGAUUAUGAAUUCAUUGAUCCCCAAUCAAUUCAUGAAUCAAAUGAUUUUGAUCAGAUCAACACAAAUCUGAUAAGAAGUUUUGGAAGCGGCAAGAAAAUAUACUUUUUGCCUUAUAUAUCCGGGUAAGUGAACUUUGUUAACAUAAUAAAGUUCCAUAUGUGAUUUUAAUAUAUAAUAGUUAAGUUAUUAUGAAUUUCAGGCGCCAUUGGCAGCUUCUUGUUAUGUCUAUGCAAGAGAACUAUGCUUUGUGGUUCUGCUCAUUGAAUAGGCCUCCUCCCACACAUCUCAAACAAGCAAUUGAUCGGUAAGAACCUCAAUGUUUGGACUUUCUUUGUUAUAUAAAUGAAUGCUAAAACCUUUUUUAUAUAUAGUUAUAUUCCAGCAAGUAUGAUGAUGGUUGGGAGAUCAAUUGCUAAUAGUAGAAAGAUUCCUUGGAUUUCUCUCAAGGUUUGACAUAUGCUAAAGCCAUAUUUUGUUAUANUUGUUUUAUUUUAAUGUUAUUCACUAACUAUUUACAACUGUGAUGAUAUAUUGUAGUGUAACAGACAAAAUGGGUCAUAUGAGUGCGGNUACUAUGUAAUGUAUUGGAUGACCCAUAUUGUUCGUUCUCACAUCACAAGAGGUUGGGAAACGGUAAUAUUUAACUUUAACAAAUUUUUAUUUUUUUCCCAAAUGUUGAAUUCAUAUACACUAAUUAAUAUGAAUUGUCUUGUGCAGAAAUUCAAGACUACUACACCAGUUCCUGAGAAGCCACUAUUAUUCAUGAGGAACGCUGCUGCGAAGUAUAUAGUUAGAUUAUACAAUANNUCUUANUUACUAGAUUUAAACAUUGNAUUUGAUUAGAUUGUAUUUUAUUAGACUUUGUACUUUAUUUGAUGUUAAAAUACAUUUCAACAUGUGUUUGUUCUGUUGAAAAUGAAUUUGAACGUGUAUUUGAUAUGCAGGUNNNNNNNNNNNNNNNNNNNNNNNNNNNNNNNNNNNNNNNNNNNNNNNNNNNNNNNNNNNNNNNNNNNNNNNNNNNNNNNNNNNNNNNNNNNNNNNNNNNNNNNNNNNNNNNNNNNNNNNNNNNNNNNNNNNNNNNNNNNNNNNNNNNNNNNNNNNNNNNNNNNNNNNNNNNNNNNNNNNNNNNNNNNNNNNNNNNNNNNNNNNNNNNNNNNNNNNNNNNNNNNNNNNNNNNNNNNNNNNNNNNNNUCGCAGUUGUAACCGCGGCCUAAAGUCUCUGACUUACUACCGCGACUGAAUAUGCCACGGUUCGUAAACCGCGACGUAUAGUGAAAAAUAACCGCGGUAAAAGCCCCUCGCUGCACUAGUGGAUCUUUUCAUUUUGUCACACAAUGAUGAUCUUAAGUUUUUAUUUUUCCCAAGUUGUCCCAAUUGGGAAUGAGUCAUCUCCUUUCUCCUCUCUACUCAUAUAUUGUCAUUGAUCCAAGAAUCAAAGUUCGUCAUAAUCAUCAUUUUCUCUUUCGCAAAUUAUUACAAAUUAGAAGGGGUUUGAUAUGUAGGUGGGUAAUGUAAAAUUCUUGUGUCAUCUUUUGGUCCACAUGCAAAGUCUAUAAAACUUUUUGUAACAAAGUGCGGGGUGAAGACAAUGACAUCAAAGACAUUUAAGGAAGGUCUUCCAAGUAAGAUGUUGCAAGAAGUAUUCAUGUUAAUGAUAUAGUUUCACACUUUAAUAUGUUAAGAAGUAGACUUUAAGCCUAAUUCAACCCCAUAAAAUUGGUUUGUAAUGAGAGGUUUGCACUCAUUGAUAUAUUCUAAAUUGUCGAGGUAUAUACAUCUCGAUCGUGAGAUUAGACAUUAAUGGGUGGUCCGAUAACAGUCUGAUAGCGGGUGAAACAAUAUACCCAACAAACAACAACUAUCGCUGGGAUAGGCUCUAACCAUAACUCUAAUAUCAUGUUAGUAAGUGCACUUUAAGCUUAACUCAACCCCAUAAAAUCGGCUUCUAAGGUGAGGUUUGCACUCACUUAUAUAUUCUAAAUUGGCCUUAUCUCUAGUCGACGUGGGACUUCCAACAUAAUGGUUCAACAAUUGAUACUUCCCUAUCCACACUUUAUUUACAAGUCUAGUUUGUCACUUGUAUCCACUAUUUCACUCAAGAAGUCACCUAGCCAUUAUACAUUUAUAUUUCACUUUUGAUAUCUGAAAGUUCUUGAGGGUCUUGUAUUAUAAUAUAUCAACCAAGCUCCCUUGGGUAAUCAUCAUUUUCAUCAAGAAAAAAUUUCUACUUCAAAAAUGAUGACCAUAAGAUCAUCUUACAAUGGAUGUAUUGCUUGAAUUCUAUAUUAGUAAAUGUAAUGAGAGACUUAUCUUCCUUCUUAGGGCUUAUGAUAUUAUGUCUACCAACUGCAUAACUAAUAGAUCUUUUCUUUACUCUGAGAUAAAGGAUCCUCCUCCUAUGAUAGUGUUAAUCAUCCUUUAAUGAUAUUUUUCUUCUUCUUUAUUUGGUUAAUUAUUCAUCUCCAAUUGAUCAUGGUUUAUAGAAAUGAUUUUUUAGGGGACUUACAAGGACUAACCUUUCAAUCUUAUCUUUCAAAGCAACACAUUUUUCCAUUAUAUGUCUAAAAUUGUAAUAGUAUUGACAAUGUCUAUAGAGUCCAAAUUAGGUGUGUUAAAACUUGUUAAGACUUCAGCAAGUGUAAUGAAUCGUAUCAAGUAAUAUAAGAUUGGUAAGACCAAGUAUCGUUUUCCAAGAGACUCACGACCUAAACAGUUAUGUGAUUACUUAACUACUUAAGACAUCGAUGAAAAAUUUUUGGAUUAUUAAUGCAAGUACAGAAAAAUAAACAUGCAUGCAAUUUGAUCAAUUGAACAGAAGCACAAAAGUGAAGGAAUGAUAAUAUUAAAGAUAUGAGAUAAAUAAGUUGUUGGUGUUUAGAUUUCACCUAGUUUACUCUCAUGCAUAAAGAAUUCUUUUUUUUUAUUAAUGUUAAUGUCACUAUCUAAUUUACUUAAAACCCGAUCCCUCGGCGAAGAAAGUCUAUCCUUAAUUACUAGACCACAAUCCCUUGCAUUCCUAAUAAUUAAUUCUGCAUUACGAUUAGUAGCUUAAGACAACCAAAACUCAUAUCCCCAUCCUUAGGCAAUACUACUUUUGGGAGAGAUUCUCUAGAUCCUGAAUUGUAAGAUAUCUCUCGAUACCCAUGGAAUUCAUAUAUCAUGCCAUGAAUGAGUUAAACAAAGCAAGAAAUGAGCGAAGGAGAAAAACCCUAAAAAUUAAUGAAAGAAGCAUAUAUCAAUAACAAGGAAUCAAUUCAAUACAUGAGAGUUCACAAGGUUUACAUCAUUCCCUAACAACAAAUAGAAUUUAGUUCCCCAUUGUCAUGGUGAAACUAGAUGUACAAUGGAAAUAUAAUGGAAUAUAAACCCUAAAAAUCGAAGAGGAUUUCUCCCGCAUCCAAUCCUGCCUCCAAAGAGUCAAAAAGUGUGAUUUGCGUUUCUUUUGCCAAAAGAUACACUCUCUAGGACGUCUGGGUCUUAAAUAGAUCAUAAAAUUAACAGAAAACAGGUCCAAGCCCACGUUGCCGGCGCUUAGCACCCCAACUUAAGGCGCCCAAGCAUGCUUGCGAGAAUACUUGCGCUCAGCGUCCUUGGAAGUGCGCCCAGGUGUGGAACGACCGAGGAAUCUGGUGCUCAGCGCCCCAAAAAGAGCGUUCAGGCAUGACUGCGAAGCUUCAGUGCUGAGGUCCUUUAUUAAGGGGCAGUCAGGUGUCAAUGCCUGAAAAGGGCGUUCAGGCGUCCUACGAUCUCCCUUUCUGAUGCUUUUUCAGUCCUUCCUGAGUUCCAACUCCUUGGUACUUCAAAUCCUUUUCCAAAAUCAUCUAAAUUUCCUACAAAAUCAAGGGAAUUAGUAAUAAAAAUCAUAAAAGAUAACCACAACUCUCUUUAUUCUCAAACUCAAGCAAAAACCUGAUUUUGAGCAAGUUCUAAGUCAAAAAGUGUUCAUGUAGUAUCAAAAUUAAGUCACCAAUAACGGUGAAAUGAACUGUUCUCAGAACUUUCCCCAAGGUAGGAAGAAGUUUGUGUUUUAUGUCUCUACCAUAAUACAAGCUUUGUUAGAACUAAGGAGAGUGUAAUUCCUGAAUCUAGGAUUUUAAGGAUCACUAUAGUUCUAUUUUCGUCAAUGAGCAUAUUCUUUCUCAUAAGAUUUCUCAGUUAUACCUUUUGACUUAGUGAUGAAAGCUUAAUCUAACAAUGUGUUUUGCUUGUGGCAAAUUUUUAUUGAAUUUUGCUAAUAAUUUGUUGAAAUAGCUUAUAAAAUAUGUGAGCAACUACAUAAAUCGAUUAUUUGUCAUCUCCUUAAUGGCAAAAGAUUGAAUAUCAAUGGGAUAAAAGCCAAUUUGGGUUAUGUACACAUAUGCAUGCUCAUUAAGGUCAAUAACUCUAUAAUAAUGGUUUAUUCAUAUGUUCUUCCAAUUUGGAAGGAUGAUGGCUUCCACGAUCCCUUUUAUAAAAAAGGUAGGGUAUCGAUGAGAUUUUCCUGAAGUUAUAGAAGUUGAAUCCCAAUAGAUAUUUUGAUCAUAUUCACUUAUUAUCAUCGGUCUUCGUUCAACCUUGGUGUUAUUGGGUUUGAGGGGUAAUGUUGAUCGAGAAUGAGUUAGUUCUUUUGACAAUUCUUGUUGAAAGGGGCUACAUAAGGUAUUUGAGUUUUUUUUCUUUCUUACUAUCUCUUUGUCCAAGCUUUUCUUUCACCUUAAUACAUUCACCUCCUCUAUGUUUUCUUCUUCCCUUUAGAUGAUUCAUUUCACUAGUACAGUAAAGGGAAACAACAUCGGUUAUUUUGUUUAUACACAAUGGCUCAUGAAUCGAUGUAUAUACAAGUAAGGCAAAAAAUGGUAGCCUUUUUGCCUCGAUUCAGAACCGAGGCAGUAUAUGGGGGUCUUUUUCCUCAGUUGGUUUCGAACCGAGGUGGUAGUUUCCUUUUUUUCCAAAAAAUGGGAUCUUUUAAUGGAAAACAGAGGCAACGACGAAAUGGAUGAAGGCGGCGAUGAACACCAAAGGUGGCAAUGAAAAACUGAAGGCGACAACGAAUGGCCGAAGGCGGAGACACACGGCCGACGAACAACCGGUGGCGGUGGCGAACGACAGGUGGCAACAACGAACAACCUUUGGGAGAGAGAAAUCGAGGAAACAAUGUUCUCUCGAUAGAAAUAGAGAAAACAAAGAUGAAGACCACACCAGGCACUUCGCAAGAGAGAAAUGGAGGCCACGAACCAACAACUUUGCUUGAGAGAGAGAAUGGUUGUGCGAGGAAGAAGAAGGUUCAUUAGGUUAAAAUUUCUUACGAAGGCGGCCAGUGGUGGAGGCAGCUGCGACGACUAGUGGUGGAGGCAAUGACGACAACCAGUGGUCACUAGUAAAACAUUGGCUUUUUACAGCACACAUUAUGCCACGGUUCACCAGAAACCGCAGCAUAAUGGUGCACGGUGGAAAUUUUGUAUAUAAUUCGAACUUAUAGGCCGCGGUUCAGAGGGGAACCACGGCCUAUACCACAGUCAACUUUCUACCUUUGACGCCACGUCAGAAAAAAAUUAAAUAGCAGGGUAAUAGGUCGCAGUUGCUCAGAUGAACCGCGGCCUAUUCCCCUGCCAAUUUAUUACGGGGCUGAAACGUGGGGAAUGUUAGAAGGUAGCAGGGGGAAUAGGCCGUGGUUCUCAGAGCAACCGUGGCCUAUUCCCCUUGCUACCUUCUGACAUUCCCCAUCAGUCAACCCUGCAAUAAAUUCGCAGGGGAUUAGGCCGCGGUUGCUCAGAGGAACCGCGGCCUGUUCCCCCUACUACCUUCUGACAUUCCCGAAAACGUAGUUGGGAAGGCAGUUGGGGGAUUCAGAACGUUAGGGAAUAGGCCGCGGUUGCUCUGAGAACCGCGGCCUAUUCCCUGAUCUAAAUAAAUUUUAAAUAUUUAAGGGAAUAGACCGCGGUUUGACGCUGAACCGCGACAUAUAGUUUGAAAAAAAAAAAUUCAAAAAUACCAUUAUAGUUUAUUUUUUUUAAGGAGAAUAGGCUGCGGUUGCCUGCUCAACCGCGACCUAUACUACUAUAUGACAGCGAUUUUCGUUACAACCGCGGUAGUAGGUUUUAAAUAGGUUAAAAUUUUUUUUGAACAGUUUCAUCUUAUCCACGCGAUUCUGAAACAAAAUCUUUCUUCUCUGCCUCCAUGCAAAUUUUCACUGUUGUUGCGCCAUCUUUCUCUAUCGCAGACAAUCCUCUACCGUCGCGCCAUCCACUACAGUCCGUCGCACCAUCCUUUGCUGCCGCACCAUCCUCUACCGCCGCGCCAUUCUUUGUCGCCGUGCCAUCUCUAUUACCCCGGGUACGUUCCAUUUUCUUCUCUGAUGUUGAAAUGCUAGGUUUGAAUGUUUGAAUGUAUUCAUUGAAAUGCUAGGUUUGUAUGUAUUCAUUGAAGGUAGUCAUUGAAAUUUUUGUCACUGAGCCGUGAUUUCAAUCAAUAAUCUUAGACCCAAUACUCUCAUAGUGUGUUUCAACUUUGGGAAAUUACCAGUAUCCAUUUUAGUUUGAAAGCAUAGUGAACUUUUUUUAAAAGUAUAAAUAAUUAUUUAAAAUUUAGCUUUAUUAUUACAACAUACAUUCUUUUUAGUUAACUAUUUUUGUAAAUUUUUAAUUUUUGUAUGUUGAAUAUAUGCAAUUAUGUGUGAUUCAAUGUUUGUUGUGAUCAUAAGAAUGCUUAUUAAUUGUAUGAUUGUAUGACUNNNNNNNNNNNNNNNNNNNNNNNNNNNNNNNNNNNNNNNNNNNNNNNNNNNNNNNNNNNNNNNNNNNNNNNNNNNNNNNNNNNNNNNNNNNNNNNNNNNNNNNNNNNNNNNNNNNNNNNNNNNNNNNNNNNNNNNNNNNNNNNNNNNNNNNNNNNNNNNNNNNNNNNNNNNNNNNNNNNNNNNNNNNNNNNNNNNNNNNNNNNNNNNNNNNNNNNNNNNNNNNNNNNNNNNNNNNNNNNNNNNNNNNNNNNNNNNNNNNNNNNNNNNNNNNNNNNNNNNNNNNNNNNNNNNNNNNNNNNNNNNNNNNNNNNNNNNNNNNNNNNNNNNNNNNNNNNNNNNNNNNNNNNNNNNNNNNNNNNNNNNNNNNNNNNNNNNNNNNNNNNNNNNNNNNNNNNNNNNNNNNNNNNNNNNNNNNNNNNNNNNNNNNNNNNNNNNNNNNNNNNNNNNNNNNNNNNNNNNNNNNNNNNNNNNNNNNNNNNNNNNNNNNNNNNNNNNNNNNNNNNNNNNNNNNNNNNNNNNNNNNNNNNNNNNNNNNNNNNNNNNNNNNNNNNNNNNNNNNNNNNNNNNNNNNNNNNNNNNNNNNNNNNNNNNNNNNNNNNNNNNNNNNNNNNNNNNNNNNNNNNNNNNNNNNNNNNNNNNNNNNNNNNNNNNNNNNNNNNNNNNNNNNNNNNNNNNNNNNNNNNNNNNNNNNNNNNNNNNNNNNNNNNNNNNNNNNNNNNNNNNNNNNNNNNNNNNNNNNNNNNNNNNNNNNNNNNNNNNNNNNNNNNNNNNNNNNNNNNNNNNNNNNNNNNNNNNNNNNNNNNNNNNNNNNNNNNNNNNNNNNNNNNNNNNNNNNNNNNNNNNNNNNNNNNNNNNNNNNNNNNNNNNNNNNNNNNNNNNNNNNNNNNNNNNNNNNNNNNNNNNNNNNNNNNNNNNNNNNNNNNNNNNNNNNNNNNNNNNNNNNNNNNNNNNNNNNNNNNNNNNNNNNNNNNNNNNNNNNNNNNNNNNNNNNNNNNNNNNNNNNNNUGUUGAAAAUGAAUUUGAACGUGUAUUUGAUAUGCAGGUUUGUUUUUGUGGUAGUGGAUAUCACAAAAACAGACCUGCUAUUUUAAAAAACUGUAGGAGAAUAUGUCGCGGUUGUUACCACAACCGCGGUAGAAAGUGAGAAUAUGUCGCGGUUGUGGUAGGAACCGCGGUAGAAAGCAGAUCGUUUUUUUUUUUAAAAAAACACUUUUGGCCGCGGUUAAAGCAUGAAUCGUAGUCUAUUCCUGGGUAUUUUACCGCGGUUCUAACUGCGGCCUAUAGUGCAACAAUUUUUUUUUUUUAAAAAAGGAGGGGUUUUGGUUGCGGUUCCUACUACAAUCGCGGUCUAUUCUCAGAACUUUUGACCGCAGUUACAAUCGCGGCCUAUAGUCACUGACUUUUUACCGCGGUUGUAUAUGCCGCAGUUCUGAAACCGCGACCUAUAGGGAAAAACAACCGCGGUCGUUUCCCUUCGCUGCACUAGUGCAUGGAGGCAACGACGGCGGAGCGGCAAAGAGAAGCUAUUCACGCAAGAUGGGAAGCAGCAGUUCACGUUCAAUCUCUGGAAGAAGAAGAAGAGUUAAAAUGUGCUUACUAUUUUACGGUUCUGGAAUAUAGUUAUCUAAAAGGCUAUUACCUCGAUUAUAAACAAAACCAAUCCGUAAACCUUCCAAAAAAAAUUCAAAAUAAAAUUAUAAAUGAAAAAUUUGAAAAUACGUACUAACUAUAGCCCUCAGUUUGCGGUUAAACUAAGGCAUAAAGGGCCUAAGACAUUGGUUAAAAUGGAAUCGAUACAGUAGAGGCUGACGAAAUGGAUUUGAAACGUUCAAAAUUAGAGGUUGUUAGUUUCUGACAAGGCAUACUACCUCGGUUUGUCAAAGAACCAAGGUAUUAGGCCUAUUUCAAAAAAACUGUCAGGUUUUUUGCGUCGGUUGGUUAGAGAACUAAAGCAACAGGCCUAUUUCGAUUGGUUAGAGAACUGAGGCUAUAUAUAUAUAUAUAAUACAUAUAUACAUAUAUAUACAUAUAUAAUAUAUAUAUAUAUAUAUAUAUAUAUGUAUAUACAUAUAUAUACAUAUAUAUAUAUAUGUAUAUGUAUAUACAUAUAUAUAUGUAUAUAUAUGUAUAUGUAUAUACAUAUAUAUAUAUGUAUAUAUAUAUAUGUAUACAUAUAUAUAUAUAUAUAUAUAUUAUAUAUUAUAUAUGUAUAUAUAUGUAUAUAUGUAUUAUUAUAUAUAUAAAUAUAGCCUCAGUUGUUGAAAUAGGUAUAUAUAUAUAUAUAUAUAUAUAUAUAUAUAUAUAUAUAUAUAUAUAUUUCACGUGGUACUUGAUAACUUAAAUAAUGAAAUCAAAGAUGUUAGAAAUGUAAAUCUAGAAUCACAACUGAUUUAACUGUCUAAAUGACAGUUUUCAUUGGUGUAUAUAUACUGUUAUUCUUAAUAAGAAAAAUAAUCGUUUUUCACAAUUCUCUAUUUUUACCUCCUAUGACAUUGUCACUGCCAUUCAAUUGCUACGCUGCCAUUCUAACAUUGGUAUUCAGAGCUUACAGGUUGUCGAACCUGGGGAGUGCUUUCAAGGAAGAUUUUUUUGCAACAAAGAAAGUCACAUUGAGAAUAUGGCAGGGCUGAUACAGAAUAACCUACCUGUGUUUGAUGGCAAGAACUUUGAAGACUGGUGCGUAAAAAUGGAUGCAAUCCUGGGGUUCCAUGAAAUUGACGAAAUUGCAAAGAUGGGUUUAAAGAACUUGCAAAGACCGCUACAGAAGAAGAAAAGAAAGCGAACAAAGAGAACAAAAAAUUGGAUUGUAAGGCACGCAUGAUCUUGCAUCAAUGCAUUUCAGCAACGAUCUUCCAAAAGGUAUCCAAGGCUAAGACAGCAAAGGAAACUUGGGAUAUUCUACAGGAUGGGUAUGGAACUGCGGGUAAUAUAAAGGAGGUUAAACUACAAUCGCUGAGACGACAGUAUGAGCUUCUAAACAUGGGAGAGCAAGAAACAAUCCAAGGUUACAUCGGCAGAAUUCAAGUGAUUGUCAACGCAAUGCGGGCCUGCGAUAAGAUCGUCAAGGACAAAAAGAUCGUUCACAAGAUCUUGCGUACGUUGACACCUCAAUAUGAUCACAUAGUUGUGGCAAUUGUGGAAAGCCGAGACCUUGAAAAGAUGAAGGUGGAGGAAUUACAAAACUCGCUGGAAGCUCACGAACAAAGAUUGUUGGAAAGGAAAGCUGCGGAACAAGAUGCGAUCCAGAUUAGCCAAGCAUUGCAAGCCAAGGUGCAAAAGGGUCGUGGAUUCGGCAGAGGUAGAGGCACAACACGAGGUGGUCGUGGAGGCAGAAACGGAGGAAGAUCCGCUAAUAAUUCGGAACAGAACAAAGAUCUUGAAAGCAACGAACAUGGCAGUUGCAGAGGUAGAGGAAAGUCAAGAGGUAGAGGCGGUAAAAGAAAUACUAACAAGAGAGGUAUACAAUGCUAUACAUGCAACAAAUUUGGUCAUUACUCAAGUGAGUGUUGGCACAAUGAAGACAAUAAGAAAGAAAAAGGUGGUGAGGUGAAUCUUUCCAAAGAAGAAAAUACCUCAGAUUCAGAUCAUGUGGCACUGAUGAACAUUGUUGUGGACAAAAGACAAGAAACACGUGGUGAUAAUGUGCAUAGUGCGUUUGACAAUACCAGAGUCAAGUAUCACAGAAAUAAGAGAAACUCUUCUGGAAACGAUCAUGUGUCAUUGUCUGGAGGAACGAGACAUGCAGAGGAACAUGUGUCAUUACCCAAAGACACAAAACUUGCAGAGGAACAGGUGUCGAUGGAAGCUGUCCCAAAAGAAAGAUGUGUCACAUCUCUAAAUAAAGAUGUGUCAUUAGCUGGGGUCACAAAUUACACACAGGAGGAUAUGCUGUGGUAUCUCGACUCAGCAUGCUCUAAUCACAUGACUGGGAAUUGAAAGUGGUUGAUCGAUUUAGACACGGGUGUGAAGAGUACGAUACACUUUGUCGAUGACAGUUUCGUCCGAGCUGAAGGCACGGGUAAGGUACUGAUUGCACGCAAGGAUGGAAGACCAAUUUACAUGCACAAUGUUCUUUAUGUUCCUACUAUGAAAAGCAACCUUCUUAGUCUUGGCCAGUUGCACGAGAAAGGGUAUACCAUGAAGAUGGAAGAAGGGCAUAUCAAGGUGUUUGACAAAAAGCAACGAAUGAUACUCAAAGCCCCUAUAGCCAGUAAUCGCACAUUUCAUGUAAAUCUGAACACUGCAGAGAUUCAGUGUAUGAAAGCUACAAACAUAGAAGAAAAUUGGUUGUGGCAUUAUCGCUAUGGACAUCUAAACUUUAGAAUUCUGAUGCAACUUAAAGAGAAGAAGCUUGUGAGUGGAAUCUGUGCAAUUGAGGCACCUAAGCAAGUCUGUGAAAGUUGUACUAUGGGAAAACAAACACAUUCUGUAUUCAAGAAGCAUGCUCUCAAAAGGGCGAGACAAUUACUAGAAGUGAUAUAUGCUGACCUGUGUGGACCAUUUGACAUAUCUUCUCUAGGAGGUAACAAAUACUUUCUAUUGGUUGUAGAUGAGUUUUCUAGAAAACUUUGGGUUUAUUUGCUAAAAGAAAAAUGUGAAACUUACACCAACUUUAUCAAUUUUUGUACCAUGGUCGAGAGACAAUCGGGCAAGAAGAUCAAGAUAUUUCGUACUGAUGGAGGAGGUGAAUUCAACUCAGGAGAUAUGGCAAGGUUCUGCACUGGAAAAGGAAUAAUACAUGAAGUCACAGCCCCCUAUACACCACAACAUAACGGUCUAGCUGAAAGGAGAAACCGUAUGCUUCUCGACAUGGUCAGAUGUAUGAUCAAAGGAAGAGAUCUUCCUCGGUAUCCGUGGGGAGAAGCAGUCUCGACUGCUGCAUAUCUGCUAAACAGAAGCCCAACUAAGGCAUUGCCAAGCAGCACUCCAGAGGAAGCAUGGCCAGGGAACAAACCUGAUGUACGACAUUUGAAGAUUUUUGGAUCAUUUGUUACAAGCAUGUUCCAAGUGAAUUGAGAAAGAAACUGGAUGACAGAAGUGAAGUGCUUAUACUUGUUGGAUACCAUCCCACUAGAGCAUAUAGAUUAUAUGAUCCAGCAAAAUCAAAGAUUGUAUUUAGGAGGGACGUGAUUGUUGAUGAAUCUACUAUAUUCAAGUGGAAUGGUGGUGAGCAUAGCACAGAUAAAUCAGAUGACACUUCUAGUACAAUGAUUACAAUUCUGCUGGAUGAGAAAAAUCCUGACAAAACCGAAUCAACAAAUGCCACAGAAAGUGUCAAUACUAGACGCUCACAGAGGACACAAUUUCGAUCAACAAGGCUUACAAAUCAUGAAUUAUUCAGAGAUAAUGCGAUUACAGACACAGGUGAUUUGGUACAUCAUGCUUUACUUGCAGGUACAGAGUCUAUAACUUGGGAACAAACUAUCAAGGAUGAUAAAUGGAGAGAAGCUAUGAUUGAGGAAUUGACUUCUAUAGAGAAAAACAGAACGUGGACGUUGGUGAAUUUUCCUGACUAUAAGAAAGCUAUUGAAGUAAAAUGGAUAUUCAAAACGAAAUAGAAACCUGAUGGGAAGAUAGCAAAGUUGAAAGCUAGAUUGGUUGCCAAAGGAUUCUUGCAACAACUUGGAAUUGACUUCACAGAUCUAUACGCCCCUGUAGCUAGAUUAGAAACGGUGAGGAUCGUGGUUGCAAUUGCCAACUCAAACAAUUGGAGCAUCAACUAGAUGGAUGUUAAAUCUGCAUUCCUCAAUGGUCCCCUCGAAGAAGAGGUUUAAGUAUGCCAACCACCUGGUUUCAUCAAGAAAGGUCAUGAAAUGAAGGUAUUUAAACUCAAUAAAGCUCUAUAUGGUCUUCGUCAAGCACCAAGGGCGUGGAACAAGCAUAUUGACUCAUUACUCAUCAGGUAUGGAUUCAAUAAAUGUGUUGUAGAAUAUGGAAUAUAUGUCAAAUUGUGUGAACAAGCAGGUACCUUGCUGGUGUGUUUAUACGUGGAUGACCUAUUGGUCACGGGGAGCUCAGUGCAAGAUAUCGAAAACUUCAAAGUGAAGAUGAAGAAUGACUUGGAGAUGACAGACCUUGGCGUUCUGGGAUACUUCCUUGGAUUAGAAUUUAUUCAAACCAAAGAGGGAGUACAUAUAAAUCAAAAGAAAUAUAUCAUCGAAACUCUGGAGAGGUUCAAGUUGAAAGAUUGCAACAGCGCAUCUGUUCCUGUCAUUGCCAACAUGAAGCUCUCGCUGCAGCAAGAAGAAAGCAAAGUUUAUGCAACGCUGUACAGACAAAUAGUUGGGACAUUGCGUUACAUUUGUAGCAGUAGACUAGACAUAAGCUUUGGAGUGGGUCUCAUUAGCCGGUACAUGCAGGAUCCCAGACAGUCACACAUGGCAGCUGCAAAGCACAUCCUCAGAUACUUAAAAGGUACAAUUGACUACGGUAUUUACUUCCCUAAGAAAGCUGACGUUUCAACAAACAUUUUGGAUGCAUGGUGUGAUGCUGACUGGAGCGGAGACCAAGUAGAUAGAAAGAGCACUUACGAGUACCUAUUCAAGCUAAUGAUGGGAGCUCCUGUUUCAUGGUGUUCAAGGAAGCAGUCAGUCAUUGCACUUUCCUCAUGCGAAGUAGAGUACAUUUCUGCAGCUGAAACUACCUGUCAAAGCACAUGGAUUGAAGCCAUAUUACAUGAACUAAAGAUCGAACAUCACAGACCAACAUGUUUAAGAAUAGACAACAAAUCUACUAUCAAUCUAGCCAAGAAUCCAAUAUCCCAUGGACGUAGCAAGCAUAUCGAAACAAAGUACACCUAUCUCAUAGAACGUGUGAGCAAAGGAAAAUUGGAACUGAUAUACUACAAUACAGAUGAACAGGAAGCUGACAUCUUUACAAAAGCCUUGCAGCAGAAUAAAUUCGAAAAACUCAGAAGCUCAAUUGGAGUCAAAGCUCUUAGUGAUUUAGAUUUAAGAGGGAGUGUUAGAAAUGUAAAUCUAGAAUCACAAUUUAUUUAACUGUCUAAAUGACAGCUUUCAUUGGUGUAUAUAUACUGCUAUUCUCAAUAAGAAAAAUAAUUGUUUUUCACACUUCUCUGUUUUUACCUCCUCUGUAAUACACACUGUCACUGCCAUUCAAUUGCCACGCUGCCAGUCUAACAAAAGACACUUUAACCUCGAACAAAGUGAAAAUUAUUUGAAGGAAAUUAACUAUAUUGAACUAUUUUUAUAGUUACAGAAACAAAAUACGAAUCCCUUUAUUUGAAUCUUUAAAAUUCUUGUAGGGCCAACCAAUGGAAAAAAAAAAUUAAAAUAUACACAAAUUUGAAAACUAGCAUUAUGCCAUUAGAUGCCAAAAAAGAAAAUUGUUUUUUUUUUUUUGUGGUUGUUAAUAAUUUAUUGAAAUAUUAUUAGAGAAAACGUGUAAAAAGAAGAGCCAAAGAUGGAAGAUGUGGUGAUAGAAGUUGGACUUCCACCAUGUCACAUUAAAGACUUGUUUCCAUCGCUUGUACGUCAAUGUUCUGAGACUUGCCUCAUUAAGAACACUAAUUUAUAUCAAUCAUCCCGUUCUAAUUUAGGAAAUUUUUGCAACACUUAAAUUGAAUCCUCCAAAUUGAGACCAGGUUAGGUUUCUUCUCAUUAAGUAGAAUACGAUACGAACGAGUUCAUAAGUAAAAAAAAUUAAAAAAAAAGAAAAGAAAUUUUUAUAAAUUAAAAUUUAUUUAUGUACAAAUUAAAAGUAAAAUUGUUGAAAUAUAUAAACUAAUUUAUGUAUAGAACCAAUUUUAGGAAGAAAGAUAUAAACUUGUAUUGGUGAAAAAAAAUAAACUAAAUAAAACAGGACACUUGUGUUAUUUUGGAAGGAAGGAUUUGAGGAAGAUUUUUGAGAGAUUUGAUUGAUAUGAUAAAUUAAAUUUUUUAAUAAAUUAAAAAAGAAAAUUUACAAAUUCUCUUUGAUGUUAAAAAUAAAAUAAAAUAAUAUUUAGAUAUGUUAUAAUUAUUUUUUAGAAUAUUUUUUAAUGAAUAAAUUUUUUACAAAAAAAUAAUAAUUGAAAGAAAUAAAGAAUACAAUAUAAUUGGUAUUAAAAAAUAUAAUAUAUUGAUUUUCAAUAUUAAAACUUUAAAUAAUUAAAUAUUUAUUAUUAUACAAUUAAUAAGAUAUGACAUAAUAUAGGACAAGUACGUACAUAAAAAAUACAAUAUGAUUUAUGAUUAAUCAAAGUGAAGUCCUAUAUUCUUAUAAGUAUGCAACCUAUUUCAAGAUAUUAUGUCGGCAUCCCUAUAAUAUAUCUUGUAUGAGAUGAGUGUGAACAAAGAAAAACAUCGCAUUGUCUCAAUAAGUUGUCAUUUGAAAUGCUCAUGCUAAUGAAAAUUAAUGAAGGAAACAAAGGAGGGAAACGUGAAGUUGAGAUAAGAGAUGUGGGGGUUGUAAGGUAGAGAAGUCAGACAAACUCACAUUUGGAGACCUCUUAAAUCGUGUAGGUGAGUUGGAGCUACUGGAGUUGAGAUAUUAUUUCAGGUGAGAUUGAAGCUAUUAGAGUGAGAAGAUACGUUGGGAAAUUUAAAGGGAUUUUAAGAUGUUUUACUUAAUUAAUAAAAUGAAAGUUUUCCCGUGACAAUCCGAGAAGGAGUGUUACACAAAUUCUUUUGUCUCUAGGCAUAAAAUACUUUUUGACCUUUGUUGUCCACACUAGUGUAGAAAUAACUUAUAACGUCACGUGUAUAACGUUUGAGUAUAGAAAAUCUAAUCUUAAAAAUGAUUGGUGGCAGUUUCGUAAAUAAAAAUCCACUUUAGACGUCGGCUUUGGGGGGCCUCGACAUCUAAAUCCAUAUACACAUCAACCCCCUUCGUUGGAUGCAACAAUGUGCGAGAAAGUAAAAAAAAGUUUUUAUUACAUUUAGACGUCCACCCAUCUUCCCCCCAACGCCUAUAGCCCAUUUACACGUCGGCCAACCAUGUUAGACGUUGUACUGGGACCCUCCGGACGGCUUGGAACGCCCGGUCACCAAGAUGGUCAAAUCUGAAGGAGUGUGGAAAGAUUAAGGUAAGAUGAAUUUAAUUAGAAAAGAUAAGGUUUAGGGCUAUUGGGUUGAGAUUGGGCCUUGAUUAGCACCACUCUAAUCCUAAGCCCAUAGCCAACACUAUAUAUAAAAGUCAAAGGUACGAGGUAAGUAGGUUCAUUUAUUGCGUACUGUUAAGUCCCUAACAAGUGUACCAGAUCGUUAUCAAGUAAUAUAUAAACGGUAAGUCCGAGUAUCGUUCUCCCAAAUGACUCUUAGGCCUUAUCUUUCAUGUAAAUUGAUCUUAUAAGACUUGAGAAAGAAAUAAUUUUGUAGUGAGAAUGCAAAACGAAAAUAAACAUGCAAAUGCAAGUGAAUCAACUAGCAAAGAAAAGAUAUGAAUGAAUGGAGUUGUUGGGGUUUACAAUUUCAUCUUAUCCGGCCUCUUAUAUCUACUUUUCUUAUUUAAUUCGCUUUAUUAUCUAAUUGCCAUGCAAACUUUUUUAUAUACUCUAAACCCAAUCCUUUGGCGAAAAGAGCCUACUAUUAAUUACUAGUUUACUAUCUCUAGUCUCCUUGAGUAAUUAAUAAUGCAUUAAAGUACAGAAGCAAAAUACAAUUGAUCGUCCUACUCCUAUCUCUAGGCAGUAUUGCUUAAUCAUGGAAUUUCCUAUCAGUUCAUGACUUCCCCAUACGUCUCCAUAUCAACAAAGGCAAAUAUCUUCUUACCGAAUGAGUUAAACAAUAGAAGCAUUAAGCAUAGAUAAGAAACCCAACAAUUGAUAAUAUAAGCAUGUGAAUACAAUAAGAAUUUAAAUAUAAGAGAGUUUCAAAAGAUUACAUUGUUUCCCAAUAACAAAGGGUUUAAUUCACCAUAGUCAUGGUGAAACUAGAUGGAAUUAAACGAAAGAAUGGAAGAGUAAACCCUAGAUUUGAUGAAUUGGAGCCUAAGCAUCCAAAAAAUCGCCUCUAAGGAGUGUAGAAGUGCUCUGGACGUCUCUGCUUGCCAAAAGAUUACUUUGAGGGUCGCACUGGGGCUAUUUAUAAAGCAUAAAAAUAACAGAAUUUAAGCCCAAGCCCAGCAUUCCACUACUCAACGCCUAAUUUGGCCGCUCAGCGGUUUCCUUCCAAGCCGCAGGCCGCUCAGCGGUCCAGUCUGUCGCUCAGCGGUUUGCCUCCUAAUUAUAGGACACUCAGCGCUGUCGCUCAAGCAAGAAAUAGUGACUUCGCCCACGAGAUUAGCGCUCAACGCUGGAAUUUGGCGUUGAGCGGUGAACUUAACUCUUCUUUUCUUCCUUUUUUACUCUUUUCUUGAGUCUAAGUCCUCCCUACUUCACUUCCAUCUUUAAUUCUCAUCAAAACCCUACAAAACAAUGCAAAAACAAGCAUAAUAUCUCUAAAAACAACUUUUGACUCUCAUGUGACUCCAUUAAGUGUUUUACUUGAUUCUAAGCUCAUUCUAAGCCAUAAAGGGUGUGUUUUGAUAGUAAAUUGAAGCAUAAAAACAACGGUUUUCAGAAUGUUAUCAUGUACUUAAUAUUGUACUCUGAUUAUCGAACGAACUAGUCAACUGACUUUGGCAUCGGAGGACCUUUGCCAGGUACCUUCCCGAACGGACUUUGGCGGAAAAAGACGAAGGAGAUGAAGAGGACGGACGAUGGAGAACUGAAACUAUGAAGGGAUUAGGUGACUCGAUCUCACACCGGAUCAUUUUGGUGCCCACUAUGGGGCCAAGUAUCUAAACCCAAUGGUAGUCACGAGGAAUAUGACCACUAAGGACCAAAUGGAGAUGAUAAGGAUGAUGCAACAAAAGAUGAAGGACAUUCAAUGGCAGCAUGAAUAGGAGUUAGUGACAGUAAGGGCGGAAUGCACUGCCCGCAUAACCAAAGAAAGGGGAAUAGAGGGUUGUGGCAAGGAGAAAGUAAUAGAAGAGAGCGGUGGAGAAAAGGAAAAUGAAGGGCAAGACCGGACUCGCCGAGAGGGCACAAGCGAGCACAGCAGUGCCUCCGACCGAACGUGGAAGCUGGAAGAGUCAGGAGCAGACAAGAACAAAGGAAAAAACGACCAGGUGGACAAUACCGUAGCAAGCAGACAACCGACGGUGAAAGAAGAGGAUGCGACUUGCCAGCUACCCUUCGUUCAGGCGAUCAUGGAUGUAAACAUAUCCGAGCACUUUGUUCCUCCCCAAUUGAGCAUUUAUGACGGGACAACCGAUCCCGAUGAUCACAUUAAGGCCUUCUCCACACGGAUGGCAUUCCGAACGAGCAACCGCGCUUUCUGGUGUCGAGCUUUCUCUCUACCACUAAAAGGGGAGGCUCUUGAGUGGUUCAACUCUUUACCGCCGAAUUCCAUUGAGAAUUUCGAAGGACUGAAAGCCAUGUUCGGCAGGCAAAUUUCUAGCAGCCGCUCCUAGGAUCUGAUGGUCUUCGAACUCUCGAACCUCAAGCAAGGGAAAAAGGAGACGUUGAAGGCCUUCAUGGACCGUGAUCAUAAGAUGGUUAGGAAGGUGAAGGGGUUCAGCAUUGAGCUAGCCCUCCAGUAUGUCAUGCCGGCAUUGAGACCGAGGCCUUUCAAAGACAGCAUAUUCCGAAGACAUCCCAAGACCAUGGAAGGGUUGAGAGAGCGAGCGGCCGAUGAAGUGAGGGUGGAGGAGAUGAAGCAGCCAUACAGGAAGGAAGUUCAGGAGGCUAAGGAAAAGGCCGAGAGCAAGAAGCCGGAUGGUCAAUCUGGAAGAGUUAGAGGAUUCAAGCCGAGAGAGCCCCCACAGAGCCUUGGUUCCAACAAUACACCCCCUGAAUGCACCUCGUGCACGGAUUUUGCAAGAGGCACUUAGUACCAACCUCAUCCCACCACUAAAAAAGCGCCCCACACGACCUAGAGCCGAUGACAAUAAACACUGCCUCUAUCAUCAAAACUUAGGGCAUACCAUCGAGGAAUGUGUCACCCUAAGGGACCAGAUCAAAGAACUGAUCAGAGCCGGUCAGUUAAAAAAGUAGGUCAAAACCACCCAUAGUAUUGUGCUGGCUGAACGACAAAGAAGUCCAAGAAGAAGCCCGGUAGGGAGAGACGACCGCUAUUGUAGCGAAAGUCGCCGGCCAUAUUACAGAGAGGACCGAUCUAGGUUCGAGAAGCGACGUAGUAGGAGCCAUAGCCAAAGUGGCGACCGUCCAAUACGGGGUCGUAUUAAUACUAUAUCUGGCGGCUUCGUUGGGGGAGGCCCAUCCUCAUCGACAAGGAAACGCCAUGUCAGGGCGCUACCCUCGGUCAACAACAUUCGAAUGGUAAGAAAGUCCAUGCCGCCUAUAAUCUUCACAGAUGAAGAUUUUCAUGCACCAGAUCUCGAGCAGGAUGACCCCAUGGUAAUCACUGCAGAAAUCGCCCGGUACGAGGUCGACAAAGUCCUAAUAGAUCAAGGAAGCUCCGUUAACAUCCUCUAUUGGAAGACUUUCCAACAGAUGGAUCUGUCUUAUGACCUCAUUGUACCCUUCCCCAAACAGAUAGUAGGAUUUCCUGGUGAGAGGGUGGACACUCGUGGUUAUGUUGAUCUGCGUACGCGACUAGGCACUGACAGGGAAGGCGAUGAGAAGAAGGUUCGGUACCUGCUAGUAGAUGCAAACACUUUUUAUAAUGUUCUGAUGGUUCACCCUUGCCUAAACGCUUUCGGUGCGAUCGUAUCUACACCCCCACUUGACCUUGAAGUAUCCGACCGAUCGGGGGUGGGUGAUGAUAGUUCGAGCGGAUCAAAAAACGAGAAGGGAGUAUUAUGUAGUCGAAAUGAAGUUGUACCCUCGAGCCUACCGAGCGAAGGUUACCCGGUCGAAGGUAGCGAUGGCCGAUCUAGAUCCGCGCAUAAAUACAGACGAUCGAAUUGAACCGCACGGGGAGCUGCACCCGCUCAGGAUAGGGGCGAAGGAAGGCCAAACCACCAUGAUAGCAAGCGGUUUAGACCCGGUUUUGGAGAAGGAAUUAAAAGAAACUCUAUGGAAGGACCAUGACCUAUUCGUGUGGACAAUGAUAGACAUGCCCGUCAUCCACCCUUCGAUAUUGACACAUAGGUUGGCCCUGUUCAAGGAGGUGAAGCCGGUGGCGCAGAAGAAGUGAAGACUCGGGGCCGAGAAGGCAGCGACCGUCAAUGAGGAAGUAUGGAAGUUGAAGGAAGCCGAAUUCAUCCAUGAGGUGACCUACACCACAUGGUUAGUGAACGUAGUCAUGGUCAGGAAGACUAACGACAAAUGGCAAAUGUGUACUGACUACACCGACCUCAACAAAGCUUGUCCAAAAGACUCACACCCGCUUCCCAUUAUAGAUAGCUUGGUAAAUGGAGCUUCCGGCCACAAGAUGCUAAGUUUUCUCGACGCUUACUCGGGUUACAAUCCGAUACCCAUGCAUGCGCCAGACAGGGAUAAAUGACGUUUAUAACAAAGAGAAGGAAUUAUUGCUAUGAUGUGAUGUCGUUGGGGCUUAAGAACGCGGGAGCUACGUACCAAAGGAUGAUGGAUAAAAUAUUCGCCAACCAAAUUGGUCGUUGUAUGGAUGUAUAUGUGGACGAUAUGGUAGUCCAUUCAGCUACCCCGUCCUAUCACCUCAAAGAUUUGGAAGAAGUGUUUCGGCAGGUGCGGCAUUAUAAUAUGAGACUAAACCGCACAAAGUGUACCUUUGGACUGGCCGUAAGGAAGUUCCUAGGAUUUAUGUUGACCGACCCAAGCAUAGAGGCGAACCCGAACAAGUGCGAUGUCGUCCUUGGCAUGAGGAGCCCUAUUAAAUUGAAGGAAAUCCAGCGGCUAGACGGGCGAUUAACUUCCUUCUCUCGCUUUAUUCCCAAUUUGGCGGGAUGAUCCUCACCAAUUCCCAAUUUGGCGGGACGAUCCUCACCAAUCCGCCAGUUAUGAACCGACCUUUCCCCAAUACUGAUUUGUAGGUCUAUGUGGCCGUAUCGGCCGAGGCCAUCAGCGCCACGUUAGUGCAGGAACGACCGGAACCUUGUCUCAUUUACUUUGUAAGUAGGGUGUUACAAGCAGCCAAGACGCGAUACCAGCAGGUGGAAAAGGUCGCUUUGGCCCUUCUCAAUGGUGCACGAAGGUUGCGCCCAUAUUUCCAUAGUCACCAGAUAGUCGUCUGAAUGGACUACCCAAUGUCAAAGAUUCUGAGGAAACCUGACGUAGCGGGACGCAUGGUAGGAUGGGCCGUAGAGUUGUUUGAGUUCGGGCUGCGCUACAAACUCCGAGAAUCCGUCAAGGGCCAACAUUUAGCUGAUUUUGCAGUGGAGUUGCCGCAAGCCCUACAAAGUGAGCAAUGGAGUUUGUAUGUAGAUGGAGCGGUCAGUCAAGCGCGGAAGAAGCAGGAAUGGUUUUGGAAAGGCCCGACGAUUUUCGUUCGAACAGUCCCUCAUUUUCAAGUUUAAGGCCUUAAAUAACCAGGCUGAGUUUGAGGCUCUAAUUGCAGGUUUGCAAUUGGCCCAAGACAUGGGAGCGAGUCUCCUGGUCUGCCGAACUGAUUCCCAAUUGGUGGUAGGUCAGAUGAAUUGAGAAUUUCAAGUCAAAGACGAUCAAUUGCUCUGGUACUUCCAUAAGGUUAUUGCCUUAACCAAGGAAUUCAAGGAAUUUAUUCUCAGGCAUAUUCCCCGUGAAGAAAACGCAUGGGUCGACAUGCUAUCCAAGCUUUGUAGCGGCAAAGAGAAAGGACAAUUGACGACUGUCAUUCGAUAGGUACUGACGAAACCGUCAGUGGAGUGCUUAGCAAUAAAAUGCCCUAAAGAACCCGAUUGGCGGAUGGAAAUUCGAAACUUGAUGCAAGAUCAAGAUGCCGGAUGACCGGUCAAGCCAACAAGUGCCUGAAAAAUUGCUCGAUAUGUUAUCAUCGGGAGCGACCUAUACCGAAGAGGCUUUUCUACCCCUUUACUCAAAUGCGUGAAUCCCCAUGAAGCCUCCUACAUAAUGGAUGAACUCCAUAACGGGAUUUAUGGAUUUCACAUCGGGAGGCGAACCCAAAAGGCACGGGCCCUCCGGGCCUGUUAUUUUUGGCCGACCAUGGAAGAGGAUGCCAAAACUUUCGUGCAAAAAUGCUUAAAGUGCCAAGCCCACACAAAUAUAUUACAUGCCCCCCGAAUGAAUUACACAUUUUUGUAUCUCCUUGGCCAUUUGCAAAGUGGGGGAUGGAUAUUGUGGGACCAUUCCCAAACGGUCGAGCCGAGAAAAGGUUUAUCCUUGUUGCGGUCGAUUACUUCACGAAGUGGGUAGAAGCCGAGGCACUUGCCACCAUAACUGCCUGACAAGUUUAAAGUUUCUUCUGGAAAAUAAUAUGUAGGUUCGGGCUCCCAAGAACGGUCGUCACGGACAACGGCCGACAGUUCAUCGACAAAAAACUAAAGGCAUUUUACGUGGGUUUGGGCAUCAAACAUGUCACGAGUUCGGUGGAGCAUCCUUAGACGAAUGGCCAGGCCGAGGCAGCUAACAAAAUGAUCGUCGCAGAGCUCAAGAGGAGGUUAGGAGAAAAGAAAGGAGCUUGGGUGGACGAGCUUCCGGAGGUCCUAUGGGCCUACCGGUGUACGCCGCACAGUGUAACCACGAAGUCUCCAUUCAACUUAACAUACGACAUAGACGCCAUGUUACCUGUUGAAUGGGGAGAACCUUCCUUAAGACGGUAGAUUGAAGACUUGUAGGUUAACGAUGGGGAGUUAAGAAUCGAGCUCGAUACAUUGGACGAACGAAGAGACCGUGCCAUCCUCCACGCGAAAGCUUGCAGGCGAAUGGUAUAAAGGAAGUACAACACAAGGUGCAACCCUGGAACUUCCAAGAAGGUGAUCUGGUAUGGAGAAAGAUUGGACAUGCCCGAAGGAUACUUCCCCACGGGAAAUUUGCCGCUAAGUGGGAUGACCCUUUCAAAAUUGCCGAAGACCUGCAAAAUGGAGCAUACCGUCUCUCUCUGCCAAGAGGAAAACCCCUCCGCAAUACUUGGAACACAUUCCACCUAAAAAUUUAUUUCAGUUAACUAUUCUUUAUGUACCUGUACUUUCCUUUUUGAGAAAUUUUGAAAUACAAAGACAACAUGGUGGGAUUCUUAUUCAAAUGUGAGGUUAAAGCGUAACCAACUAUGCUAACCCAUACAUCGGGCGGUGAACGGCGAGUUCAUGAAGAACCACUACCGCCCCAUCAACUAACAUACCAGGUGGUGAACGACGAGUUCAUAAAGAACCACUGCCACCCAGCUGACCCACAUAUCACGUGGUGAACGACGAGUUCAUGAAGAACCAUUGCCACCCGAACGACAAAUACAUCGGGCGGUGAACGACAAGUUCAUGAAGAACCACUACCGCCCGAUCAACUAACAUACCAGGUGGUGAACAGCGAGUUCAUAAAGAAGCACUACCACCCGGCUAACCCACUUACUGGGUGGUGAACGACGAGUUCAGGAAGAACCACUGCCACCCGGCCGACACAUACAUCAGGCGGUGAACGACGAGUUCAUGAAGAACCACUAUCGCCCGAUCAACUAACAUACCAGGUGGUGAACGACGAGUUCAUAAAGAACCACUGCCACCCAGCUAACCCACAUACCGGGUGGUGAACGACGAGUUCGUGAAGAACCAUUGCCACCCGGCCGACACAUACAUCGGGCGGUGAACGGCGAGUUCAUGAAGAACCACUACCGCCCGAUCAACUAACAUACCGGGUGUUGAACGGCGAUUUCAUAAAGAACCACUACCACCCGGCUAACCCACUGACCGGGUGGUGAACGCUGAGUUCAUGAAGAACCACUACCACCCGGCCGACACAUACAUCAGGCGGUGAAUGGCGAGUUCAUGAAGAACCAUUGCCACCCGGCUGACCCAUACAUCGGGUGGUGAACAGCGAAUUCACAAAGAACCAUUACCACCUAGUACAUCUACGUAUCGAAUGGAAAAGCACACUAAGUGCUAAAUACAUUGAGAAAAAUGACCGAACGGUAUGAGACAAUAUAACUUGUGCAAAUUACAAAUGCUAGUCGUAUGCAUAGGCACUAAUUACGAAUGAAUAGUAAAAGACAGAGUAAUUUGUGGUGAAGAAAGAUUUAAAACGUAAGUCGUAUUCAUGUCCAAAAAAUCUUGUGGGGCUGUACAACGCAUAUACGGCCGAUAGGCCACCAAAACGAACAAAAUCAAAGUUGUCAACUGGUCCUAACAAUUUGAAAAGCAAAAAUUCCCCUACCCACAAAGAAAAGUUGUCACUGACCACCUUCGGCACUAUCAUCACCAACAUCUUGAUCAGCAUGUUCCCCGCCGGCAUCUUCUUCACCCGCAUCCUCUUCUGUUGGCUCCUCUUCCCCAUCCGAAACGGGAACUGGCAUCAUCUUCCCGUCGAAGACAUCUUGAGCGAUGUCGAACCUGGAAGAGAGGGGUCUGCUCCCAACAAGUAAGCAGCCUGCCGAACAGCCUUGUUGAACACUUUUUCGUGCUUGAUUUGGACAUUCUCAUUCAAGAGCUCAAUAGACUUGUUGGCUUUGAGUAGCUCCUACUCUAGCCGGACGUUCUCUGUGCACAAGUCGGCCAGUUCCCCUUCCUGCUCCUUCGAUUUUUCUCCCACCUGCCGCAAAGCCAAUUUUAGUCGGCUAGUCUCUUUCUCCCCCUCAUCACACUUCACUUGAAGGUCUUGGGUCACCUCACACUUAGAGUGUUUGAGGGAAAGCGCCUCUAGAGCCGCUUUAGCCUCUUUAGUGGCCUUCUUCUCCGCCGCCAACUCCUCCUGAACUUCUUCGGCCCCUCGGCGGUCAGCAAAACCCUCGACGUACCACAUCACCAUGGCACCACCAGUAGUAAGCUCUGCAUGACUUUGGUAAUCUCCCUUUUAGACAGAUUCUCGACCGUCACCCACUGAGUGGAGCUCAUUCAUAAAUCAACCCGGUCGCUCACGCCGAAGGACAGAUCGAGCAGGCCACCCGGAAGAGGCCGGGGAGAACUUUCCCGCUUAUUUUUCUUAGAAGACGAUUUUUCACCCUCCUUAGAUUUUCAUUUCUUCUUGGAGGAACGGGUGGAUUGGCCGGUGCUUGGGUGGAAGCGGCUGCGGUAGCGCUCGAAGACUCUACGUUCACCACCGGAGGAGGAACAACAACUAGGGGCACCUCGGAAAUUGGGGGAACCUCCACGGACAGCUUCGUUUGAGACUGAGCCGUAGCGGUUAGAGUCGGACGGUCGCGGAUCCCUCUGACGCGAAGGCGAAACGUAAAAUGUCUUGCGGGGGGUCGAGAACGACAUGGCACCUGCAAAGAAAAUAGAAAUUUAGAUAAGUUAAUAUCAAAGAAAUAAGUGGGUGGAUACUAACAUCAUACCGAACGCCACAUUAGUAAAAUCCUCAUAGAAAAGAUAGUCAACCAACUAACGGGCGUGAAGACGGCGAGGUAGAUCAUUGAUGGUUUUAACAACCUCGACCUCAAUGGGGGUCAUGUCAUCGUUCUAGACGGAGCUUAUUCUGACAAGAUUCCUGGUCCAAUAAAAAGGGAACAAAGGUUCCCCGACAUCAUUGCGAAAUUGGUUGCGACCGCCCUCCUUUAUUAUUAUUUUGAUGUACCUAGUCUUGAAGUUCUUGAAAGACUCUGAAUAAGGCUUGAACAAGCAAUUAUCCUGGACGGACAUCAGCGAUACCCAACCCCAUUUAGAAAGCGGCUGGAUGUGGUAAUAAUGAAAAACUACGGAGACGGAUGGUGUGAUUGCUAAGGCCAAACACAUCACUACGAACACCUGAAUGCAGGUCCACCCGUUCGGGUGUAACUGAGUAGGAGCGACAUUCAUCUUUCGUAGGAUGGUCGCCUGAAAACGAGUGAAGGGCACCCACACAAACAUCCAGUUGAAUAGAUACGUGUAUAAGAAAAAGAAAUCUUCGGUACUCGUCCCCUUCCCAUGGAAGACCCGUUUGUUGGGGUAGCUUACGCUCAAGCGGAUCAGUUGAGCAUCUGCCUCGUCUCGGGCCAAGAAUGACUGGUUGACCCACUCUAGCAGGUUAUCCCUAUUCUUGUACUCGGAUUCAUAGGAUCCACGUCAUGCGAAGCCCACCCAUAAACACCUAUGGUCGGCCAUCCGCCGACGGGUUCUGCCCUCAUGGCGUCCACUUCGACCCCGCCCUCUAAGAGGAACAAAGACGCUCCGUGUAUUGUCCGGUCACCGCUGAGCUCCAAAGACCCAAGAGACCCCCUCGCCCUGUCAGACAUCUCGACCCGGGAUGAUGACCCCGAGCUACGAGAAGAAGUCUCGCUGCCGCUGGAGGAGCCCCCGCCGUCCCACCUGCUGAACUAGUAGAAGAAGACAAUGGAACGACAACCAUUUAUUUACCUAAGUUUAUUGUAACUGGAAGGCUGCAGUAAAAAGAGAAAGGAUGAAGGUGAAAAUGACCCAUCGUUCACUCUUAUUUAUAGCAAAAUUUUUGAAACUGCUAAAUACAUCCUCAUCGUUAAAUAAAAGCACAACGAAGGGCCUAGAUUGAAAGGACUCUUCCACUACCCGAGACCACCCGCCUAUGGACACCUAACAUGUGUUUUCCCGUCUCAAUUCAAACUUCAGGCACACAAAAUGAUUCAACCCUCUUUUUAAACCCUACGACGAGUACUCGUCUAAGGCUUUGGGGGCCUGGUCUACUGGGAACCUCUGGACGACUUAGAACGGUCGGAUGUAGAGAACCGAACAAUCAACUUUAGACGUUUCUGUUUAUGGUCCCCGACGUCUAUAGUUCUUCACUCAUCGGUUAUAUCUGGCCUCGACGUCUAUUUGCCCCACUUAAUUAUGAAGUUGCCACCGGUCAUCGUGUUACGUCAGUCGACCAAACAACCGACGUCUAUGUGGUGACGUUAAAUAACGUUUUUCUACUAGUAAUUUGUGCUAUCUAUGUAAAUAUAUUGCACAGUCUGAAGAAUUAUUUUUUUUUAUUUUUAUUCAAACUUCAAACAAAUAACAAAAGUGAAUUGUUUUAUUUAAAUUAACAUUUAUCAUAUUCAUGAAAGUGUUGUAAUCAAACAGAUACUAAAAUUCAUGCAAAAUAUAUAGUAAAACAAUCAACUCAAAAAAACAAGCACUUUUAUAUUGCAAAGCAUACAUAUUCAUUUAUAUGCAUCACAUGCAGCAUUACACACUUCAAAGCACUGACAUGUUCAUGCAAAUUUAUUCCAUUCAAACAAAGGACCUACAUUAUAAUAAGAACACUCCUCGAACAUCACAACCAUUAUUCUAAGGGCCACUCCAUUAUUUCUUCUUUUACUUUAAAUUUCUUCUUGGAGUUAUGCCUUCACAAGAUUACUAUCAAUAUCUCUGGUGCAGUUGUGCAGGUACUCGAUGUAACCAUAUGGAGGAUGAACUUCUUCAUUAAGUUUCUCAUAUUCAAUGGUCCAUUUGAUAAUAGCACCACCGUUCUCCUUAUCAAUUGCUUGAAAUAUGAGGUUAAACACCUUAA